rnacentral:lncRNA from 1 species
AUGGAUGCUGAAAAUAAUUCAGGAAGGUCAUUCUGUCAUUUAAAGGUCAUCUUCAUCCACUUUUUCCAGCAAGCUGUCAUCUCUUUAGUAUUUACAACAGCUACAGGGGAAAACCACCAGAAGACAUGUCCUUCUUUACAACUUAAGGAGAUGACAUCUUUCUGUAUGAAGAGAUGAAAUCUGUUCAAGUCUCCCUGGAGAAGCUCCUGUCAGCAUGGUGCAUCUGUAGCACCAUAUUCAUGAUGAGCAGAUUGACAGACGUCUCUGGAUUCUCCUUGUCUAAAGAACUUUCAGUAAUGACACAAAGACUAUCCCACUGAGUAGCUGACUGUAAGAUUUAUGAAAUUGUGAAUGGAUCUUUCUUUACAAUGAAAUAAAAGCUUGUUGGGUUUAGGACA